rnacentral:rRNA from 1 species
UACAGAGGCCUCGAGCGUUAGGCGGAAUCACUGGGCUUAAAGCGUGUGUAGGCGGACUUCUAAGUAUCUUGUGAAAUCCCCCGGCUCAACCGGGGAAGUGGCGCCGAUACGACCUUCCUGGAGGGACGUAGGGGGACCUGGAACUUCCGGUGGAGCGGUGAAAUGCGUUGAGAUCGGAAGGAACACCAAUGGCGAAGGCAGGGUCCUGGCUGGCACCUGACGCUCAUGUGCGAAAGCCAGGGGAGCGAACGGG